UACGGAGGGUGCAAGCGUUGUCCGGAUUUAUUGGGUUUAAAGGGUGCGUAGGCGGCCCGUUAAGUCAGCGGUGAAAUCCCGGGGCUCAACCCCGGAACUGCCGUUGAUACUGGCGGGCUUGAGUUCGGUCGAGGCGGGCGGAACUGGCGGUGUAGCGGUGAAAUGCUUAGAUACCGCCAAGAACCCCGAUUGCGUAGGCAGUUCGCUUGGCCGAAACUGACGCUGAGGCACGAAAGCGUGGGGAGCGAACAGG
rnacentral:rRNA from 1 species